rnacentral:rRNA from 1 species
UGGGGAAUAUUGGGCAAUGGGCGAAAGCCUUACCCAGCAACGCCGCGUGAGGGAAGAAGGUUUUCGGAUUGUAAACCUCUGUCCUGGGGGACGAAGGAAGUGACGGUACCCCGGGAGGAAGCCCCGGCUAACUACGUGCCAGCAGCCGCGGUAAUACGUAGGGGGCGAGCGUUGUCCGGAAUUAUUGGGCGUAAGGGGGCGCGUAGACGGCCGAGUAAGUUAUAGGUGAAAGCCCAUCUUUCAAGGAUGGAAUUGCCUGUAAUACUGCCUGGCUUGAGUGCAGGAGAGGGAAGCGGAAUUCCUAGUGUAGCGGUGAAAUGCGUAGAUAUUAGGAGGAACACCAGUGGCGAAGGCGGCUUUCUGGACUGUAACUGACGUUGAGGCGCGAAAGCGGGGGGUAGCAAACAGGAUUAGAUACC